UUAAAAUUAGUUAAUUUAUAACAUAAGCUUGUCAAGCUUAAAUUAUCUUUCAAGAUAUUUUAAA
rnacentral:tRNA from 1 species